rnacentral:rRNA from 1 species
AUUGAACGCUGGCGGCAGGCUUAACACAUGCAAGUCGAGCGGGGUGAUGGUGCUUGCACUAUCACUUAGCGGCGGACGGGUGAGUAAUGCUUAGGAAUCUGCCUAUUAGUGGGGGACAACAUCUCGAAAGGGAUGCUAAUACCGCAUACGUCCUACGGGAGAAAGCAGGGGAUCACUUGUGACCUUGCGCUAAUAGAUGAGCCUAAGUCGGAUUAGCUAGUUGGUGGGGUAAAGGCCUACCAAGGCGACGAUCUGUAGCGGGUCUGAGAGGAUGAUCCGACACACUGGGACUGAGACACGGCCCAGACUCCUACGGGGGGCAGCAGUGGGGAAUAUUGGACAAUGGGGGGAACCCUGAUCCAGCCAUGCCGCGUGUGUGAAGAAGGCCUUAUGGUUGUAAAGCACUUUAAGCGAGGAGGAGGCUCUUUUGGUUAAUACCCAAGAUGAGUGGACGUUACUCGCAGAACAAGCACCGGCUAACUCUGUGCCAGCCGCCGCCGUAA